CAAGAAGCGAAUCUAUUGAAAAGGGGGAUUUCUUUGAAACAGCAGCUUUUUACCAUGGAAGAAUGGCGCCCAUUUGUUGGCAUAUGCCCUAUUAUUCAUGAGGACCCUUACUGGCUGGUUGAUCGUCUCCAUCUGGAAGCUGAGGCCUCUUCAACUGCUGAGGCAAGAGAAGUACUCUGAAAGGUCUGGUAGCAGUAAGUAAAUUCCUCCUCAUGUCUGCUCACACCCCACUAACCAGAAAUAGUCACAUGAGCCAGAGGAGGAAAAAUCAGAUGUGGAUGAGCACUAGAGGACGGCUGUCAGCAUGACCUUGGAUCAUAAACCGAGCAGUGGAAUAGCAUGAUGCCAUAAUUCCCCAAAGUUAGAGUUCCUGAAAUUAAUUUCUAUCUUUUGACAGAAAUGACAGGAUCAAGGAAUAAAAACCCUUUAGAGUAUGCUAGCAAUAUUUAAAGGGCUGACAGCCUGAAUGGCAGCCAGCAGCAACCUUCCUUACACCGUUAAAAUUUAGGUGCAUUGGAAAGAGAAAAGAAUUAAUAGCCUUCAUGUCAAAGCAGAGAGAAAGAAAAAACACAGCAGCACUUUGCUUAUUAAUUGUUUUCUCUAGUAGCCACAUUUUCAAGACUCCUGAGAUCAAGUUGAUACUUCAGACACGCAGAGCCACGUUUUGUUCUUGUUUUUCCACAAUCUCAAAAACUGGGCAAGGAGAAAGUUCAUUAUCACCCUGAACUCUGGAAGUUUGGGGGAGUGGCUACAUAAUGAUUUGAAUAAUUUUACACCCUAGAGUUGAAAAUGAC
rnacentral:lncRNA from 1 species